rnacentral:rRNA from 1 species
CUAAAUACUACCCAGUGACCGAUAGCGUAUAGUACUGUGAAGGAAAGGUGAAAAGCACCCCGGGAGGGGAGUGAAAAAGAACCUGAAACCCUGUGCCUACAAGCACCUAGAGCACGUCAAUGUGUGAUAGGGUACUUUUUGUAGAACGGUCCGGCGAGCGAUUGUAUGCAGCAAGGUUAAGGACUUAAGGUCUGGAGCCGAAGCGAAAGCGAGUUUGAAAAGGGCGUUAAGUUGCAUAUAAUGGGCCCGAAACCGGGUGACCUACCCAUGGUCAGGUUGAAGUGGAAGUAAAAUUCCAUGGAGGACCGAACCGACCUCCGUUGAAAAGGCGGCGGAUGAACUGUGGGUAGCGGAGAAAUUCCAAUCGAACCCGGAGAUAGCUGGUUCUCCCCGAAAUAGUUUUAGGACUAGCCUCAAGUUAGAUACCUGGAGGUAAAGCACUGAAUAGCCUAGCGGCCGAGAGGUUAGCGAAGCUUAUCAAACUCAGAAUGCCAGAGUAUUGAUGCUUGGGAGUCAGACAGUGUCAGAUAAAUGUCAUUGUCAAAAGGGAAACAGCCCAGAUCUACAGCUAAGGUCCCAAAGUCAGGUUAAGUGGAAAACGAUGUGAAGAUACGCAGACAACCAGGAUGUUGGCUCAGAAGCAGCCACUCAUUCAAAGAGUGCGUAAUAGCUCACUGGUCGAGCGUCUUUGCGCGGAGAAUUUAACGGGGCUAAACCUGACACCGAAGCUUAGGCAAUACAGCAAUGUAUUGGGUAGGGGAGCGUUGUAUACGCGGUGAAACAGUAGCGCAAGCGGCUGUGGAGUGUAUAGAAGUGAGAAUGCCGGAAUGAGUAGCGCGAAUGCAGUGAGAAUCUGCAUGGCCGAAAGCCUCAGGUUUCUGGAGGAAGGUUCGUCCGCUCCAGGUUAGUCGGGAGCUAAGGUGAGGCCUAACGGCGUAGCCGAUGCACAGACGGUAGAGAUUCCGUCACCACCAAAAGAGUUAAGCACAGGGACACAUUUGAAGUCUCAGAGCCGGGUGUUGGUUCCGGUAGAGAUCGAGGGAAGUUAGUACCGAAGUCUGGGAUGGAAGAUGGCGAGAAAAGCUGUGUGUAUUUCUGAGGUGCCCGUACCGCAAACCGACACAGGUAGGUAGGAAGAAGAUUCUAAGGCCAACGGGAGAAGGGUUGUUAAGGAACUCGGCAAAUUGACCCCGUAACUUCGGGAGAAGGGGUGCUCCAGAGAUGGAGCCGCAGAGAAUCGGCCCAAGCAACUGUUUACCAAAAACACAGGUUUGUGCUAAAUCGAAAGAUGACGUAUACGAGCUGACGCCUGCCCGGUGCUGGAAGGUUAAGAGGAGAUGUGCAAGCAUUGAAUCGAAGCCCCAGUGAACGGCGGCCGUAACUAUAACGGUCCUAAGGUAGCGAAAUUCCUUGUCAGGUAAGUUCUGACCCGCAUGAAAGGCGUAAUGAUUUGGGCACUGUCUCAACAGCCCGCCCGGCGAAAUUGUAGUACCGGUGAAGAUGCCGGUUACCCGCGACAAGACGGAAAGACCCCAUGGAGCUUUACUGUAGCCUAAUAUUGGGUUUCGAUGUUGCAUGCACAGGAUAGAUGGGACACAGGGAAACAAGUGCUUUGGCAUUUGUGGAGUGGCCGUUGGGAUACCAUCCUUGCGAUAUUGGAAUUCUAACCUGCGCCUUUGAAUCAAGGCGGGGGACAUUGUUAGGUGGGCAGUUUGACUGGGGCGGUCGCCUCCUAAAGAGUAACGGAGGCGUUCAAAGGUUCGCUCAGCUUGAACGGAAAUCAAGCAAAAGAGUGCAAACGCAGAAGCGAGCCUAACUGCGAGACUGACGGGUCGAGCAGUAACGAAAGUUGGAGUUAGUGAUCCGGUGGUAUGUGAGUGGAAAUGCCAUCGCUCAACGGAUAAAAGUUACCCUGGGGAUAACAGGCUGAUCUCCCCCAAGAGUCCACAUCGACGGGGAGGUUUGGCACCUCGAUGUCGGCUCAUCGCAUCCUGGGGCUGUAUUCGGUCCCAAGGGUUUGGCUGUUCGCCAAUUAAAGCGGUACGCGAGCUGGGUUCAGAACGUCGUGAGACAGUUCGGUCCCUAU